rnacentral:rRNA from 1 species
UGGGGAAUAUUGCACAAUGGGCGCAAGCCUGAUGCAGCCAUGCCGCGUGUGUGAAGAAGGCCUUCGGGUUGUAAAGCACUUUCAGCGGGGAGGAAGGCGUUAAGGUUAAUAACCUUGGCGAUUGACGUUACCCGCAGAAGAAGCACCGGCUAACUCCGUGCCAGCAGCCGCGGUAAUACGGAGGGUGCAAUCGUUAAUCGGAAUUACUGGUGGUAAAGCGCACGCAGGCGGUUUGUUAAGUCAGAUGUGGAAUCCCCGGGCUCAACCUGGGAACUGCAUCUGAUACUGGCAAGCUUGAGUCUCGUAGAGGGGGGUAGAAUUCCAGGUGUAGCGGUGAAAUGCGUAGAGAUCUGGAGGAAUACCGGUGGCGAAGGCGGCCCCCUGGACGAAGACUGACGCUCAGGUGCGAAAGCGUGGGGAGCAAACAGG